UUUUGUUGAUCUUUGAAGCUUGAGCUUCUGUCAUACUUCAUGAUUGAGCUUUGCCUGGUCGAAUACGAAAUGCUUAAGUUCCCACCAUCUUUGUUACCUGCUGUAGCUAUCUUCACUGCCCAAUGCAGGCUUAGUGGGUGUAAGCAUU